AGUCCUGAGGUAGUUACGCCAAAAUGCAAAUUUGGAGAAGCGCCAUAAAGGUGCCGGGGCUU
rnacentral:tRNA from 1 species